AUUAAAGCCCACAUGCUGCAGGUAUAACACAGUAGUCUGUGUGCUCUGCGUGGUGAGUGUUGAGUUAUUGCAUGCUGUGCUCUUUUGGAAGCUGUGAUCAUGGGCCACUUGAUGAGAGCAGCAGAGAUAAGCCAUGGAUGGUGUGAGGCUCUCCAUCACAUCAGGCUUGUGCAUCCAUCAUCCCUGAUAAACGCUGACUGAAGGAUGUGGAGAAGUUUACCAACUUUCACACAGCACAACACCUGACCUGGAAUCCUUUCAGAACCACAUCCUCUUGUAUGCUGCAAAAUGCUUUUCAUUCAGCUCACCAGUGUAUGAGGCACACACUCCUCUGGCACCACACCCACAGGCCUGCAGCCCUGACUCUGAUGGUAACAAUAGAGAAAUCCUUGGAAGACUGUUGAAAUCUGGGAAGAGACUUCCCAAAACAAGAACACUAAGACCUGAUGACCAAAGGAGACUUGGACAUCUUCCUGGGAUUCCUCCACCACCUACAACAGAACUAGCACAAGACCGCAGC